AGUCGAGCGGAGAUGAGGUGCUUGCACCUUAUCUUAGCGGCGGACGGGUGAGUAAUGCUUAGGAAUCUGCCUAUUAGUGGGGGACAACAUUCCGAAAGGAAUGCUAAUACCGCAUACGUCCUACGGGAGAAAGCAGGGGAUCUUCGGACCUUGCGCUAAUAGAUGAGCCUAAGUCGGAUUAGCUAGUUGGUGGGGUAAAGGCCUACCAAGGCGACGAUCUGUAGCGGGUCUGAGAGGAUGAUCCGCCACACUGGGACUGAGACACGGCCCAGACUCCUACGGGAGGCAGCAGUGGGGAAUAUUGGACAAUGGGGGGAACCCUGAUCCAGCCAUGCCGCGUGUGUGAAGAAGGCCUUAUGGUUGUAAAGCACUUUAAGCGAGGAGGAGGCUACUGAGACUAAUACUCUUGGAUAGUGGACGUUACUCGCAGAAUAAGCACCGGCUAACUCUGUGCCAGCAGCCGCGGUAAUACAGAGGGUGCGAGCGUUAAUCGGAUUUACUGGGCGUAAAGCGUGCGUAGGCGGCUUUUUAAGUCGGAUGUGAAAUCCCCGAGCUUAACUUGGGAAUUGCAUUCGAUACUGGGAAGCUAGAGUAUGGGAGAGGAUGGUAGAAUUCCAGGUGUAGCGGUGAAAUGCGUAGAGAUCUGGAGGAAUACCGAUGGCGAAGGCAGCCAUCUGGCCUAAUACUGACGCUGAGGUACGAAAGCAUGGGGAGCAAACAGGAUUAAAUACCCUGGUAGUCCAUGCCGUAAACGAUGUCUACUAGCCGUUGGGGCCUUUGAGGCUUUAGUGGCGCAGCUAACGCGAUAAGUAGACCGCCUGGGGAGUACGGUCGCAAGACUAAAACUCAAAUGAAUUGACGGGGGCCCGCACAAGCGGUGGAGCAUGUGGUUUAAUUCGAUGCAACGCG
rnacentral:rRNA from 1 species